CAGUGAUAAACUGGAGGAAGGUGGGGAUGACGUCAAGUCAUCAUGGCCCUUACGACCAGGGCUACACACGUGCUACAAUGGCGCAUACAAAGAGAAGCGACCUCGCGAGAGCAAGCGGACCUCAUAAAGUGCGUCGUAGUCCGGAUUGGAGUCUGCAACUCGACUCCAUGAAGUCGGAAUCGCUAGUAAUCGUGGAUCAGAAUGCCACGGUGAAUACGUUCCCGGGCCUUGUACACACCGCCCGUCACACCAUGGGAGUGGGUUGCAAAAGAAGUA
rnacentral:rRNA from 1 species